GACGAACGCUGGCGGCGUGCUUAACACAUGCAAGUCGAACGGAAAGGCCCUGCUUUUGUGGGGUGCUCGAGUGGCGAACGGGUGAGUAACACGUGAGUAACCUGCCCUUGACUUUGGGAUAACUUCAGGAAACUGGGGCUAAUACCGGAUAGGAGCUCCUGCUGCAUGGUGGGGGUUGGAAAGUUUCGGCGGUUGGGGAUGGACUCGCGGCUUAUCAGCUUGUUGGUGGGGUAGUGGCUUACCAAGGCUUUGACGGGUAGCCGGCCUGAGAGGGUGACCGGCCACAUGGGGACUGGGAACCGGCCCAGGCCCAUCCGGGGGCAAGCAUGGGGGAAUAUUCCCAAAGGGGGGGAAGCCUGAUGCAGCACCCCCGCGGGGGGGAUGAGGGCCUUAGGGUUGUAACCCGCUUCCCCCUUUGACGAGGCGUGGGUGGGGGUAAUGGGAAAAGGACCACCGCCGAACAACGU
rnacentral:rRNA from 1 species